GACGAACGCUGGCGGCGUGCUUAACACAUGCAAGUCGAACGGACCGGCCCUGCUUUUGUGGGGUGCUCGAUUGGCGAACGGGUGAGUCACACGUGAGUAACCUGCCCUUGACUUUGGGAUAUCAUCAGGAAACUGGGGCUAAUACCGGAUAGGUUCUCCUGCAGCAUGGUGGGGGUUGGAAAGUUUCGGCGGUUGGGGAUGGACUCGCGGCUUAUCGGCUUGUUGGUGGGGUAGUGGCUUACCAAGGCUUUGCCGGGUAGCUGGCCUGAGGGGGGGACCGGCCACGCUAGGUCUGAGAUACGGCACAGACUCAUAUGGGAGGCAGGAGUGGGGAAGAUUAUAUAAUGGGCGGGGGGCUGGUGCGACAACGCCGCGUGGGGUAUGACAGCCAUCGGGUAGGGAUCUGCUUUCGCCUCAGACGAAGCGUGAGUGACGGUAAUGGGUAAAGAAGCCCCGGCUAACUACGUG
rnacentral:rRNA from 1 species